rnacentral:rRNA from 1 species
UACGUAGGGGGCAAGCGUUGUCCGGAUUUAUUGGGCGUAAAGAGCGUGUAGGCGGUUAUGCAGGUCCGCUGUGAAAACUGGAGGCUUAACCUUCAGCGUGCAGUCGAUACGGGCAGACUUGAGUUCGGUAGGGGAGUCUGGAAUUCCUGGUGUAGCGGUGAAAUGCGCAGAUAUCAGGAGGAACACCGGUGGCGAAGGCGGGACUCUGGGCCGAUACUGACGCUGAGGAGCGAAAGCGUGGGGAGCGAACAGG